GCCUGGGUGGCUCAGUCGGUUGAGCAUCCGACUUCAGCUCCGGUCACGAUCUCCCAGUUUGUGAGUUGGAGCCCCACAUCAGGCU
rnacentral:tRNA from 1 species